UACAGAGGUCCCGAGCGUUGUCCGGAAUCAUUGGGCGUAAAGAGCGUGUAGGCGGCCAUACAGGUCCGUUGUGAAAACUGGAGGCUCAACCUCCAGACGUCGACGGAAACCGUAUGGCUAGAGUCCGGAAGAGGAGAGUGGAAUUCCUGGUGUAGCGGUGAAAUGCGCAGAUAUCAGGAAGAACACCCGUGGCGAAGGCGGCUCUCUGGGACGGUACUGACGCUGAGACGCGAAAGCGUGGGGAGCGAACAGG
rnacentral:rRNA from 1 species